UUCAAAGAUAAGGUGUCAAUUUCGGACCUACUGUCACUUCUUUUGGGCAUCACAUACGAAUACGGAGAGCAACGGAAGAUCGGCGACUAGAUUUGGAGGGAGCAUUUUCUCGGCUACACAUUCUACUUACUGUAUAGUGAAUUCGAAGAUUGGGUGAAGGAGUUAUGAGGCGUUGAAGACAGCACUUGUAAUUUGAAGGCAGUAAGUAUAUCGUUUUGUUGCUAGUUAUGGGUGAAGCCAUAUCUUGAGUUUCUGGACGAAUUUUUGGCUCAAAAUUUCCACAAGUGUGUGUAAUUGGGUUAAGAAGCUUUAGAUCAAAGUUUCAUAGUAUUUAAAUAAUUACUUUGUGAGAUAUGAAGGAAGUUGUACACGGGUGUAAAAAAGCUAGGGUUUGAAGCUACAGUUAGGAUUUUCAAGAUAUCACAAGAUCCAAGACGAAUUUACGGUUGAAUUUUGGUGUGAUAGUUUUGAAAGAUAUAUCAGUACUCCAUGUAAAAUUUGGAGUUGUUUAGACGGUUAGAUCGUAAGUUAUGAGCUGUUGAACUUCGGGAAAAAUUCCUCAUAAGGAUAUAUAAGUUAUUUAUAACACCUUAUCAAGUAUUUUG
rnacentral:lncRNA from 1 species